UACGGGGGGGGCAAGCGUUGUUCGGAAUUACUGGGCGUAAAGGGUUUGUAGGUGGCCAACUAAGUCAUACGUGAAAUCCCUCAGCUUAACUGGGGAACUGCGUCUGAUACUGGUUGGCUUGAGUGCAGGAGAGGAACGCGGAAUUCCAGGUGUAGCGGUGAAAUGCGUAGAUAUCUGGAGGAACACCGGUGGCGAAGGCGGCGUUCUGGACUGCAACUGACACUGAUGAACGAAAGCCAGGGAGCAAACGGG
rnacentral:rRNA from 1 species